UGUAUCCGUAAUAUUAUGGACGAAGCCGCUGGGAAUAGGAGGGACAAGUGUAGUAUGUAACAUACCAGAUUUUAGUAUAAAAAUAAAAAUAAAUAAAAAUAGUAUGAGAUACUAUUUUUAUUGGAUUUAGAAAAGUAAAACAUAAGUCAGAAGUGACUUGUGCUGAAAUCGAAAUGAAAACAAAAGAUUUAGAACUUUCUGUUAGAAACGGGACAGAUAAAUUAGCAGAAAAUGCACAGUCUCAAAAAAUUAUGAAAACUGGAAGAUAAGCCAGAAUUAUUUUUAUGAGGCUAGAUUUAAAGUUUUAUGUUAUUCUGACACCCGGAAGGUGAAAAAUAAAAUCCGAUAACUAUCUGAUAAAGAUUACAGUUCGGUAUAGUUUUCGGUGACCAAACGGGGUCGAAACUAAAAUAUUAAAAUUUUUUUGGA
rnacentral:lncRNA from 1 species